rnacentral:rRNA from 1 species
GUGUCAGCAGCCGCGGUAAUACGGAGGAUCCAAGCGUUAUCCGGAAUCAUUGGGUUUAAAGGGUCCGUAGGCGGUUUAAUAAGUCAGUGGUGAAAGCCCAUCGCUCAACGGUGGAACGGCCAUUGAUACUGUUAAACUUGAAUUAUUAGGAAGUAACUAGAAUAUGUAGUGUAGCGGUGAAAUGCUUAGAGAUUACAUGGAAUACCAAUUGCGAAGGCAGGUUACUACUAAUGGAUUGACGCUGAUGGACGAAAGCGUGGGUAGCGAACAGGAUUAGCAACCCGUGUAGUCC